rnacentral:rRNA from 3 species
AGAGUUUGAUCAUGGCUCAGAUUGAACGCUGGCGGCAGGCCUAACACAUGCAAGUCGAGCGGUAGCACAGAGAGCUUGCUCUCGGGUGACGAGCGGCGGACGGGUGAGUAAUGUCUGGGAAACUGCCUGAUGGAGGGGGAUAACUACUGGAAACGGUAGCUAAUACCGCAUAACGUCGCAAGACCAAAGUGGGGGACCUUCGGGCCUCAUGCCAUCAGAUGUGCCCAGAUGGGAUUAGCUGGUAGGUGGGGUAACGGCUCACCUAGGCGACGAUCCCUAGCUGGUCUGAGAGGAUGACCAGCCACACUGGAACUGAGACACGGUCCAGACUCCUACGGGAGGCAGCAGUGGGGAAUAUUGCACAAUGGGCGCAAGCCUGAUGCAGCCAUGCCGCGUGUGUGAAGAAGGCCUUCGGGUUGUAAAGCACUUUCAGCGGGGAGGAAGGCGAUAAGGUUAAUAACCUUGUCGAUUGACGUUACCCGCAGAAGAAGCACCGGCUAACUCCGUGCCAGCAGCCGCGGUAAUACGGAGGGUGCAAGCGUUAAUCGGAAUUACUGGGCGUAAAGCGCACGCAGGCGGUCUGUCAAGUCGGAUGUGAAAUCCCCGGGCUCAACCUGGGAACUGCAUUCGAAACUGGCAGGCUAGAGUCUUGUAGAGGGGGGUAGAAUUCCAGGUGUAGCGGUGAAAUGCGUAGAGAUCUGGAGGAAUACCGGUGGCGAAGGCGGCCCCCUGGACAAAGACUGACGCUCAGGUGCGAAAGCGUGGGGAGCAAACAGGAUUAGAUACCCUGGUAGUCCACGCUGUAAACGAUGUCGAUUUGGAGGUUGUGCCCUUGAGGCGUGGCUUCCGGAGCUAACGCGUUAAAUCGACCGCCUGGGGAGUACGGCCGCAAGGUUAAAACUCAAAUGAAUUGACGGGGGCCCGCACAAGCGGUGGAGCAUGUGGUUUAAUUCGAUGCAACGCGAAGAACCUUACCUGGUCUUGACAUCCACAGAACUUUCCAGAGAUGGAUUGGUGCCUUCGGGAACUGUGAGACAGGUGCUGCAUGGCUGUCGUCAGCUCGUGUUGUGAAAUGUUGGGUUAAGUCCCGCAACGAGCGCAACCCUUAUCCUUUGUUGCCAGCGGUUAGGCCGGGAACUCAAAGGAGACUGCCAGUGAUAAACUGGAGGAAGGUGGGGAUGACGUCAAGUCAUCAUGGCCCUUACGACCAGGGCUACACACGUGCUACAAUGGCAUAUACAAAGAGAAGCGACCUCGCGAGAGCAAGCGGACCUCAUAAAGUAUGUCGUAGUCCGGAUUGGAGUCUGCAACUCGACUCCAUGAAGUCGGAAUCGCUAGUAAUCGUAGAUCAGAAUGCUACGGUGAAUACGUUCCCGGGCCUUGUACACACCGCCCGUCACACCAUGGGAGUGGGUUGCAAAAGAAGUAGGUAGCUUAACCUUCGGGAGGGCGCUUACCACUUUGUGAUUCAUGACUGGGGUGAAGUCGUAACAAGGUAACCGUAGGGGAACCUGCGGUUG